AAACCGAUAAUCAAGUGCUCUUCUCUCGCAUCUCUCUUCCUCUCGUUUCGUAUCGGCCAACGUCGUCGUCGUCACGAUCCACGACGAUUCAGCUCCGAGUACCGGCGAUUAUCGGUCUGAGUUCUGAUUCCGCAAAAUCCCCCCUUUCUUGUCUCGUCUUCGCUCUCGAAUUCCCGUAUUUCUCCCUCUAUUUCGAGACCCUGAUUUCGUCUAUCAAUCCGGAAAAUCCCGGUUUCGUCCGAAAUUCGAAGACUUGAGAGUCGCGCUUAUUCCGGGCAAGAAGAUCGAAGAAAUAUUCAAUCUUUUACAAAGUCGGUGAUUCUUGGAUCUCGUCUUUGUUGAUGGACGCAAUUAGGGUUUGCGCGGAGGUUCCUGGAUCUUCGAAAUCCACUGGUCCCUCUCUCACGGAGUCGACCUCUCGCACGGAAACCAUCAAUGGCUCCCACGAAUUCAAGAUCAGCGGCUACUCUCUCGCGAAAGGGAUGGGGAUAGGCAAAUACGUCGCCUCGGAUACGUUUAUGGUCGGUGGCUACUCCUGGGCGAUCUACUUCUACCCAGAUGGAAAGAGUCCUGAGGAUAAUUCGGUGUACGUGUCUCUGUUCAUAGCCCUCGCGAGCGAAGGAGCUGAUGUUAGGGCUUUGUUUGAGCUGACCCUCGUGGAUCAGAGCGGCAAUGAAAGGCACAAGGUCCAUAGCCAUUUCGGUAGAACUCUAGAAAGCGGACCCUAUACUCUCAAGUACCGAGGAAGUAUGUGGGGAUACAAACGGUUUUUCAAGAGGUCUCUUUUGGAGUCAUCGGAUUAUCUCAAGGACAAUUGCCUCUUGGUUCGGUGCUGUGUUGGUGUGGUGAAGUCACGCACGGAGGGGCCGAGGAGUUACAAUAUCCCGGUGCCGGUUUCUGACUUGGGUCAGCAGUUCGGAAAGCUUUUGGAAAGUAGGAAAGGAGCAGAUGUUACUUUCCAUGUCGAUGGAGAAACAUUUCCUGCUCACAAAUUGGUUCUUGCAGCUCGUUCUCCAGUUUUCAGGGCACAGCUUUUUGGCCCGUUGAAAAACCAAAAUACCAAAUACAUAAACAUAGAAGACAUGGAAGCCCCCAUUUUCAAGGUUUGUUUGUUUACGAGUGUACAUUCCGGGACCUUCUCCUGGGGCGCUGCUCUUGUUCUCAAAUAUUACUCACCCGGGAUAAGAUGUUGCUCCAUUUUAUCUACUGGGACGAAUUACCUGAUAUGCAAGACUUAAUGGGCACAGACUUGAAAUGGGCAUCGACUCUUGUGGCUCAGCAUCUGCUUGCAGCUGCAGACCGUUAUGCUCUUGAGCGGCUUAGAACAAUCUGUGAGUCAAAACUCUGUGAAGGAAUCAGCAUAAACACGGUUGCAACCACUUUGGCUCUGGCAGAGCAGCAUCAUUGUUUCCAGCUGAAAGCUGCAUGCCUCAAAUUCAUAGCUUCGCCAGAAAACCUGAAAGCUGUGAUGGAAACGGAUGGGUUUGAUUAUCUGAAGGAAAGCUGCCCAUGCUUACUAAGUGAGCUACUGGAAUAUGUGGCUAGGCUGAGUGAGCAUUCUUUAACAUCGUCGGGGAAUCGAAAGGAGUUUUAUGCUGAUGGUUGUGACGUUAAUGGGAGACGAGUGAAGCAGCGGUUACAUUAAGUAACUAACUCUGGGGGAGAGAGGCCGAUGUUGGUGGUGACAUUUGGUAAACAGAAUUGUAGAAGAGUCCAGAUUUGUGCAUUUGUCAUUGUAAAAGGAUUAGUGAUUGUUCUGUGUUGUCUAGCAAGUAGAGUGAAAUGUUGUUUUUU